AUUGAACGCUGGCGGCAGGCCUUACACAUGCAAGUCGAACGGCAGCACGGGGGCAACCCUGGUGGCGAGUGGCGAACGGGUGAGUAAUGCAUCGGAACGUGCCCAGUAGUGGGGGAUAACCAGUCGAAAGACUGGCUAAUACCGCAUACGACCUACGGGUGAAAGCGGGGGACCGUAAGGCCUCGCGCUAUUGGAGCGGCCGAUGUCUGAUUAGCUAGUUGGCGGGGUAAGAGCCCACCAAGGCGACGAUCAGUAGCUGGUCUGAGAGGACGACCAGCCACACUGGGACUGAGACACGGCCCAGACUCCUACGGGAGGCAGCAGUGGGGAAUUUUGGACAAUGGGCGCAAGCCUGAUCCAGCCAUGCCGCGUGCGGGAAGAAGGCCUUCGGGUUGUAAACCGCUUUUGGCAGGAACGAAACGGCGCAAGCCAAUACCUUGCGCUAAUGACGGUACCUGCAGAAUAAGCACCGGCUAACUACGUGCCAGCAGCCGCCGUAAUAC
rnacentral:rRNA from 1 species